GGGAGAAUAGUUUAAAGGUAGAAUAUUGGUCUCCAAAACCAAAAGUAAGGGUUCAAGUCCCUUUUCUCCUG
rnacentral:tRNA from 1 species